rnacentral:snoRNA from 1 species
AGAUUCUUAGUGUUUGCCAUAGGCUGAGUUCUUACACUGGCUGUUGAUAAAGAGAAGUCAGAGUAAACCUACCCCAUAUAUACCUCAGCUCAGGCCCUGUGCAUAGUCUGUCUUGUGAUGGGUUGACAUAA